CACAGCAACAACCACAACAAAUAUCUAUAAAAUUACCCAACCCCUAGAACCUACAAUUGAGCCACACUAUAAAUAUAGACGAACUUAUGCUAAAACUAGUAACAAGAAACAAUAUUUUCUCUAGGCGCACUUAUGGCCCAGUAACAGAAAACCUACUGGACAUUAACAGACCACAAUAGGAAAACAACAAACAUUGUUUUAUCCACUGUCAAACCGACACCGGGGCGCCACCAAGAAAGAUUAAAAGCUGCAUAAGGAACUCAGCAAACCUUGUCCCAACUGUUUACCAAAAACAUAGCCUUUAGCAAUACAAGUAUUGAAGGUCCCGCCUGCCCAGUGAAAUAUUUAACGGCCGCGGUAUUCUAACCGUGCAAAGGUAGCGUAAUCACU
rnacentral:rRNA from 1 species